rnacentral:rRNA from 1 species
GAUGAACGCUGGCGGCGCGCUUAACACAUGCAAGUCGAACGAAGCACUUUAUUUGAUUUCCUUCGGGACUGAUUAUUUUGUGACUGAGUGGCGGACGGGUGAGUAACGCGUGGGUAACCUGCCUUGUACAGGGGGAUAACAGUUGGAAACGGCUGCUAAUACCGCAUAAGCGCACAGCAUCGCAUGAUGCAGUGUGAAAAACUCCGGUGGUAUAAGAUGGACCCGCGUUGGAUUAGCUAGUUGGUGAGGUAACGGCCCACCAAGGCGACGAUCCAUAGCCGACCUGAGAGGGUGACCGGCCACAUUGGGACUGAGACACGGCCCAAACUCCUACGGGAGGCAGCAGUGGGGAAUAUUGCACAAUGGGCGAAAGCCUGAUGCAGCGACGCCGCGUGAGCGAAGAAGUAUUUCGGUAUGUAAAGCUCUAUCAGCAGGGAAGAUAAUGACGGUACCUGACUAAGAAGCACCGGCUAAAUACGUG